UUUCUCUCUUAGUGAGGUUCCUCUACGUGUUUUGUUUGUCUGAAGACGGGGUCUCCUGUGGUCCUGGCUAGUUUAGAACUCUCAGCCUCUGCCUCCCAAAGUGUCGGGAUUAAAGUUGAGCCCGCAGAGCGGGUUCAUCCCCAGUCUUUAUUUAUAUAUAUUUUAUGUAUAUCAGUGUUUUGUCUUCAUGUACACUGCACACCAGGGAUGGCAUCAGACCAUAGUGAACUGCCAUGUGGGUGCUGGGCAUUGGACUCAGGACCUUCGGAAAGGCACUGAGUGCUCGUAACCAAUGAGCCAUCUCUCAAGGCCCCUCCUCAGGUUUUAAAGAGAAGCCAGCGAUUCCUAAGACAACCUUAUAGCAUCUCUGUAAUGAUGCUGUUUCUCAGAUGCUCUCCCUCCUCUAGGCCACGCCCGUGCCCUGCCCACCAUGGUUAUGAGGUUCCUCUCCUAUAAAGAGGAAAAAAUCUGAAGGGAGAUUCGAGAUUCGCGUGCUUUCCUGGACCCGAGAUCUCCUUUUUCUAACACAAGGUGGUGACACCCCACAGUUGAGACCAGCUAGUUCUACAAACUCACAUGAUAGAGCAGAAUCGAGACUGAAAGCUGGAGAAGGCAGAAGGGAGGGGAGGAAAGUACAAACCAGAAGCGGAUACAUGCCCAACCUCCCGUGCCACGCCCACCCCCAAGCAGAUACAUGCCCAACCUCCCACUUCCACCUCUUAUUCUCGGAAAUGAUGACUCUCUACAAUUUGUACAAGAAGAGUCUCCUAGCAGAAGGUUACUAAGGCAAGGUUGUAGUGCCAGGCAAUGGUGAUGCAUGCCUUUAAUCCCAGCACUUGAGGGGCAGAGGCAGGCGGAAUUCUGAGUUCCAGGCCAGCCUGGUCUACAGAGUGAGUUCCAGGACAGCCAGGGCUACACAGAGAAACCCUGUGUCAAAAACCAAAAACCAAAAAAGACAGGGUUAUAGGUGUCUUUGCUACUUUGUGGGUUCUUCUUUCAUCCACCAUUUCAAACCCCAAACACUAGAUAAGAGAGAAGAAAGGAGAGAGGGGAAAGGAGAGAGAUCCCUGAAAGUGGGCGGGCAUUAUCAUCAGACUACUUCCUGCUGAUCAGGGAAGUCGAUCUAACAGUUCCUUGGGGCAAGUUUGAUUUUCACCGUUAGUGUACAGGCAAUUCCUCCUGCCUGCUCUCAGGGACCUAGCAGUUGCUUAUGUCCUGACCUGCCACUGCCCCAGGUGUGACAUAUGUGUGCUGCAUAUAAAACCCACUUUUUUCUCAGCAGCUUGCUCGCUCUUUGUCCCCAGUGUCCCCUUUACCUGUUCUCUGUGGGUACACUUCCUUCUCCCAUCCUGCUCCCAUUUGUCUGUCUAGCUGUGCACUUGUCUGCCUCCAUCUCUUUCCCUUGUCCCCUCCUCCCCCCUCCUCUAAUAACCCUCGUUCACAGUAGGUGUGGCUUACUUACUCAGGGGCACACCUUGUCGUGGGUACCCCCUCUCCACAUUGUAUUCCAUAACACACCAACAACAACAACCCUGCUUCUGGGGCCCUAGCAUUUAUAUAUGCUCUCAAAAGUCUCCAGAAUUCCAAAUGUCACACAAUCGCAAAAAAACUCUCUUCAGCUGACAAAACCACACCCCCUGCAUGAAGCAAAUCCUAGUCAGUAGCCAGUGGCUGUGGGCAAUCUGAAGCAGCCCCAUAUCCUGUGAGCUCUAACUUCCUCUAUUCAGGCAGAGGACCAGAGGGCAGUCCCCAGGGCCCAUGUCAGGUAGUUAAGAAUUGCCUGUAAUAGUUGCUUAUGAACUCUGCAAAUACCUGUACUCAUAAUGUAUACACACAUACACACACACACACACUGUGUGCAGACUGACUUUCAAACAUCACUAGCCUCUGAAUAGCUCCUGUACCAUGGACUUGUUCCUCAAACCUCCUGGAGGCCGGGUGUGGUGGCUCACGCCUUUGAUCCCAGCAC
rnacentral:lncRNA from 1 species